UACGUAGGGUGCAAGCGUUGUCCGGAAUUAUUGGGCGUAAAGAGCUCGUAGGCGGUUUGUCGCGUCUGCUGUGAAAACCCGAGGCUCAACCUCGGGCCUGCAGUGGGUACGGGCAGACUAGAGUGCGGUAGGGGAGAUUGGAAUUCCUGGUGUAGCGGUGGAAUGCGCAGAUAUCAGGAGGAACACCAAUGGCGAAGGCAGAUCUCUGGGCCGUAACUGACGCUGAGGAGCGAAAGCAUGGGUAGCAAACAGG
rnacentral:rRNA from 1 species